rnacentral:misc_RNA from 1 species
GUGAAUCAUCGAAUUUUUGAACGCAAAUUGCACUUUCUGGUAUUCCGGAAAGUAUUCCUGGGUGAGUGUCAGUUAAAUAAAGAUCGGUGUUGUUGCUGCUUUUCGUGGUGACGCGGCGGAAUUGAGUUGUCUUACCUUCGGUUAAGUGGCUUAAAAUUUUUCAUGAUGUUCGAACGUAUUGAAAUUUCUUACGUACGUUUGUGGUAUUGAAUACUUGAUUAAGUUCGUUCAUCCUCAUGAUUUGCACCUAUAAUUUUUCUUUA